GACGAACGCUGGCGGCGUGCCUAAUACAUGCAAGUAGAACGCUGAAGAGAGGAGCUUGCUCUUCUUGGAUGAGUUGCGAACGGGUGAGUAACGCGUAGGUAACCUGCCUUGUAGCGGGGGAUAACUAUUGGAAACGAUAGCUAAUACCGCAUAACAAUGGAUGACCCAUGUCAUUUACUUGAAAGGGGCAAAUGCUCCACUACAAGAUGGACCUGCGUUGUAUUAGCUAGUAGGUGAGGUAACGGCUCACCUAGGCGACGAUACAUAGCCGACCCGAGAGGGCGAUCGGCCACACUGGGACUGAGACACGGCCCAGACUCCUACGGGAGGCAGCAGUAGGGAAUCUUCGGCAAUGGGGGCAACCCUGACCGAGCAACGCCGCGUGAGUGAAGAAGGUUUUCGGAUCGUAAAGCUCUGUUGUAAGUCAAGAACGAGUGUGAGAGUGGAAAGUUCACACUGUGACGGUAGCUUACCAGAAAGGGACGGCUAACUACGUGCCAGCAGCCGCGGUAAUACGUAGGUCCCGAGCGUUGUCCGGAUUUAUUGGGCGUAAAGCGAGCGCAGGCGGUUUGAUAAGUCUGAAGUUAAAGGCUGUGGCUCAACCAUAGUUCGCUUUGGAAACUGUCAAACUUGAGUGCAGAAGGGGAGAGUGGAAUUCCAUGUGUAGCGGUGAAAUGCGUAGAUAUAUGGAGGAACACCGGUGGCGAAAGCGGCUCUCUGGUCUGUAACUGACGCUGAGGCUCGAAAGCGUGGGGAGCGAACAGGAUUAGAUACCCUGGUAGUCCACGCCGUAAACGAUGAGUGCUAGGUGUUGGAUCCUUUCCGGGAUUCAGUGCCGCAGCUAACGCAUUAAGCACUCCGCCUGGGGAGUACGACCGCAAGGUUGAAACUCAAAGGAAUUGACGGGGGCCCGCACAAGCGGUGGAGCAUGUGGUUUAAUUCGAAGCAACGCGAAGAACCUUACCAGGUCUUGACAUCCCGAUGCUAUUUCUAGAGAUAGAAAGUUACUUCGGUACAUCGGUGACAGGUGGUGCAUGGUUGUCGUCAGCUCGUGUCGUGAGAUGUUGGGUUAAGUCCCGCAACGAGCGCAACCCCUAUCGUUAGUUGCCAUCAUUCAGUUGGGCACUCUAGCGAGACUGCCGGUAAUAAACCGGAGGAAGGUGGGGAUGACGUCAAAUCAUCAUGCCCCUUAUGACCUGGGCUACACACGUGCUACAAUGGUUGGUACAACGAGUUGCGAGUCGGUGACGGCAAGCUAAUCUCUUAAAGCCAAUCUCAGUUCGGAUUGUAGGCUGCAACUCGCCUACAUGAAGUCGGAAUCGCUAGUAAUCGCGGAUCAGCACGCCGCGGUGAAUACGUUCCCGGGCCU
rnacentral:rRNA from 1 species